CUUAUACUUGAGCUGAUGCAUACCAAUGGGUUCUUCUCGGCAUAACUUUAGGAUCAAGUUGAGGAGACACUUUAAGAAGUAUAGCCAAGACUCGUAUAAGGAAUACAAGAGUACUGGUUCAAUGAGUUUAUUGGAGUUGAUGGACCUCUUCACCAAUUUCACUGGUAGCCUCCAUAACUAUCAAGAAUGGACAUCUCCAUUACCUGAAGCUUGGUCACCGGUCUGCUUGUAAGAUUCCACUCCAUCCGCAGUAGUCACAUUUGUGUCAUUUGUUUCAAGUAGGGAGAAUACUCUGAUCGAUUAUGUAUUUCUUGAGCGCCAAGAAAUUACUGUUUUCUUCUUCGACA